rnacentral:rRNA from 1 species
UACGGGGGGGGGCAAGCGUUGUUCGGAAUUACUGGGCGUAAAGGGCGCGUAGGCGGUUUGCUAAGUUGGAUGUGAAAAACUGUGGGCUCAACCCAUAGCCUGCAUCCAAAAACUGGUAGGCUAGAGUUCUGGAGGGGAUAGCGGAAUUCCUGGUGUAGCGGUGAAAUGCGUAGAUAUCAGGAGGAACACCGGUGGCGAAGGCGGCUAUCUGGACAGAGUCUGACGCUGAGGCGCGAAAGCUAGGGGAGCAAACAGG